rnacentral:rRNA from 1 species
UUCGGAAUUACUGGGCGUAAAGCGCACGCAGGCGGAUUGAUAAGUCGGGGGUGAAAUCCCGGGGCUCAACCUCGGAAUUGCCUUCGAUACUGUUAGUCUUGAGUCCGGGAGAGGUGAGUGGAAUUCCUAGUGUAGAGGUGAAAUUCGUAGAUAUUAGGAAGAACACCAGUGGCGAAGGCGGCUCACUGGCCCGGUACUGACGCUCAUGUGCGAAAGCGUGGGGAGCAAACAGG